UGCGUAGGUGGUUUCUUAAGUCAGAGGUGAAAGGCUACGGCUCAACCCGUAGUAAGCCUUUGAAACUGGGAAACUUGAGUGCAGGAGAGGAGAGUGGAAUUCCUAGUGUAGCGGUGAAAUGCGUAGAUAUUAGGAGGAACACCAGUUGCGAAGGCGGCUCUCUGGACUGUAACUGACACUGAGGCACGAAAGCGUGGGGAGCAAACA
rnacentral:rRNA from 1 species